AUAUUAAGCAAAAUAGCAAAUCUUCCUCCAUAAGAAGAACCAAUAUAAUACUAGAAAAGUAGAAAAGUGAGCCUUCUGGUUGUUCUGCAAUGAAGCGUUUUUGAUCCAUUUAUUGAUUUAGAAGAGUAAAUUACAAACUAUAAUUCAGAACAAUUAAAUUGAAGUCUUUGUUGAGUCCAAUGAAGUUUAUGAACCAAGUAUAGUCGGUGAUUACAGGGAACUUUUAGUAUCGGAAGAGGAAAAUUACAAAACAUUUUUAUCUGGAUCAGAAAAUAUGGAUAUUGAAGAUGAAUUUGAACAUCAAAAGAGAACAAUGUCUAGAUUUGUAAGAAAAGAGAGAAAAUUAAAUUUACAUAAAAAUUACUAUUUGUUAGCUCUUGUGGUACGUCUAUAGCUGGAAGACAAAUUCAGCCAUUGAAAAAAUGUUUAAAAAUCUAUCAAAUAUUUUUAACAAAUGAUGUAAGAAAUAAAAUUAUUAGACAAUAUUGGGGUUUAGAUCCCCAUUAUAGAAGACUA